UCUUAGAGUCUGUAAAUGUAGAUAUGGAUAUCUAUCAUACUACUUGUCCAACAAUAGAUUGGACUCAGUUUCCUUUCAUAUAUACAUAGUCUUACUCUGGGCUUUCUUUCAUUCAGAGAAUGCAGGUAGCUGAUGCUGGAAACUGUCCUUAUUCUAUAUGGUAGCUCCCACUGUGUUUCUGAAGUUGGAGCUAGCUACCAAGGAAGACAAUGCAAAUGAGUAAGGAAUAAGAGAUCUGUCUGCUUCUGUUAGCGGUGGAUCAUAAGACAUGGGAAGAUACAGACCUACCUCAUUAGUGAGAAAUGCAAAUUUCACAGCAGAUAUGGUUCUUGUACACUUGGGAGCAUCUGUUGCCAUCAAAGGAUCUGACAUCUGGAUUGCUUUGGGUCCAUAUUAAAUGUAGUAGCUGAAGAGUCCCACUCUUUGGAGAAAGUGUUUUGACUGACUAGUGAUGCUCAUGACAAGAUGGAUAGUAUGGAACAGUAUCAGAAAUCACAGAGAGGUCAACGUAUGGAGAAACAGAAGUGUGGUCCAGGAAAUCAUAGAUUAUUAAAUAAUAAAAGCAAGCAACAUGUUUUGAGUUUCUACAUGGCAGCAAAUGAUGAUUGUCUGAGAAAAAGUUUAUGAAACCCUGAAGCAAGUGACAAGAAUUGCAAAGGCCUGGAUACAGAACUCAGCAGUUUUAAGAAUAAGUUUGGGGUGAGUCACAACAAAUAAAACAAGUUUCUUAAAAUACCA
rnacentral:lncRNA from 1 species